rnacentral:rRNA from 1 species
UACAGAGGUCCCAAGCGUUGUUCGGAUUCACUGGGCGUAAAGGGUGCGUAGGUAGCCAGGUAAGUUUGGUGUGAAAGCUCGGAGCUUAACUCCGAAAAGUCAUUGAAUACUAUCUGGCUGGAGGGUCGGAGGGGAGACUGGAAUUCUCGGUGUAGCAGUGAAAUGCGUAGAUAUCGAGAGGAACACCAGUGGCGAAGGCGAGUCUCUGGACGACUCCUGACGCUGAGGCACGAAGGCCAGGGGAGCAAACGGG